rnacentral:rRNA from 1 species
CGUGCAGUCAAGGGGGCCCGCAAGGGCAACCGGCGAACGGGUGCGUAACACGUGAGCAACCUGCCCAUCUGUGGGGGAUAGCCGGUCCAACGACCGGGUAAUACCGCAUACGUUCACCUGGGGGCAUCCCUGGGUGAGGAAAGCCUUCGGGCGCAGGUGGAGGGGCUCGCGGCCUAUCAGCUAGUUGGUGGGGUAACGGCCUACCAAGGCAACGACGGGUAGCUGGUCUGAGAGGAUGGCCAGCCACAUUGGGACUGCGACACGGCCCAGACUCCUACGGGAGGCAGCAGUGGGGAAUCUUGCGCAAUGGCCGAAAGGCUGACGCAGCGACGCCGCGUGUGGGAUGAAGCUCUUCGGGGUGUAAACCACUGUUGCCCGGGACGAACGGGCGGAUUAAUCCGCCGUGACGGUACCGGGUGAGGAAGCACCGGCUAACUCCGUGCCAGCAGCCGCGGUAAUACGGAGGGUGCGAGCGUUGUCCGGAAUCACUGGGCGUAAAGGGCGCGUAGGCGGCUCGGUAAGCGUGUGGUGAAAGCUCGGGGCUCAACCCCGAGUCGGCCGUGCGAACUGUCGAGCUGGAGCACUGUAGAGGCAGGUGGAAUUCCGGGUGUAGCGGUGGAAUGCGUAGAGAUCCGGAAGAACACCGGUGGCGAAGGCGGCCUGCUGGGCAGUUGCUGACGCUGAGGCGCGACAGCGUGGGGAGCAAACAGGAUUAGAUACCCUGGUAGUCCACGCCGUAAACGAUGGGCACUAGGUGCUUGCGGGAGCGACCCCGUGAGUGCCGGCGCUAACGCAUUAAGUGCCCCGCCUGGGGAGUACGGCCGCAAGGCUGAAACUCAAAGGAAUUGACGGGGGCCCGCACAAGCGGUGGAGCAUGUGGUUUAAUUCGACGCAACGCGAAGAACCUUACCUGGGCUUGACAUGCAUGGGAAACCCCUGAGAAACCAGGGGCCCUCUUCGGAGCUCAUGCACAGGUGCUGCAUGGCUGUCGUCAGCUCG